AUGUGGUUUGAUUCUAUUUGUGUGAAAUGGAUUUUGAAAUUGUGUUCAUCUAGUUCCUGGUUUGUCUUGGCAAAUAGACUCCCCAUUACAGGUUUCCAUAUCAUGAUGCAUGCUGGAGCAAAAAGGGAAGCAAAUAAAAUCAAGAUGUUAUCAAAGAAAGAAGAGCCGGGGCAUGAUUUUCACUACAAAUGUUUCCUACGUAGCCUAAACCAACCCUAUGAGUUGAAGACAAUUAAAUGAACAGUAUCAUAUUGUAAAU
rnacentral:lncRNA from 1 species